rnacentral:lncRNA from 1 species
CCAUUCAAAAAGAAGUAGCCCUAAAAAAUGGUGAUGAAAGAAAAAUAGGAUGAGCACAUAUGAAUCAAAUUCAAAUGCAUAAGUAGACUUUUCCAUUGAAAUAUCAAGGAUAAUGGGAACUUCAUCAGUAACAUUUUCCAUUGAAAUAACAAUAAUAAUGGGACAGCUCAUGUAUUAAAAAAACAAAAAAAUUGCCACUGAAAAAGAAAUAGCUUGCCAAUUGAAUCUGAAACAUGUAUUUCUUUUUCAUUUAUAUUUUGGGCAUUUGGUCACAGGCCUCCAAUUGAAGAUUUCAAAACCAUGAACUUCACAGAUUUCACAGACUUUGAUCCAGCAGCCAGACAUAGAAACCUCAAAAAUGUCCAUCUUAAUAUGCAUAAAUUUCUGCACAAAACUAAACAGCAUGACUUCUCUCCUCCUUCGACUUGUUAAUUGGGCACAAACCAACAGAUUGUUUACUGGAAACACAAGACAAAAAACCAGGCAAUCACUAAUCAACAUUCCUAAGUCGAUGAAAAUGGAUCCCCUCACACUCCUUCCAAAUACCCUGGAUUUAUAAAUUGGUCACUGUAAUUGACGAAGACCUCGAAUGUAAUCCACAAAAUGCUCAGAUUCUAAUUGUGGAUAGUUCUAUCAUAACAAACAUUGUCAAUCAAGCAAUAUCUCAAUGGAACCCCUAAACACACCCAGUUUAUCACUGUUCCAUGGUCCAUGAAAAUAGAUUUCUAUUUGCCCUAAACACUUCAAGUUGUUGUUUUAGUCAAUGGUAUUAAUUAUACUGAUCAAAAACCACAAAGACCAAUGAUAAUGAAGAGGAUCAGAAGCUUUAUUCCACAUCACCGAAAUCAAAUUGUUGUGCACCAUAGUAUUAAUAUGUAUAAGGAUUAACAAAAUAUGCAAGCAUUUACAACUCCAAAAACACAGAAUCCAUCAAACACAGGUAAUUCUUCUGCCCCCAUCUCAAACGAGAUAUUGAAACAAAUCAAUAGAAAUCAUUAGACCCAGAUUGAUCAGAGCGGUUGUUUCAAAUAGUGGUUAUGUAAAGUUUCAAUCUAUAUGUAAACAAAAUAAAGGAGAAAAUAAUAGAAGGCAGGAAACUUAACCUAGUUCAGACCUGGUCAAAGAAGCGAUGAAGCCAAGCCAAUCUUCACAACACUCAGGUCAAGUGAACACAAUAUAUAUCACAAAGAGAGAAAAAGAAAAUCUUUAAAUGCAAACUAGCAAAAAAAACCAGAUUUACUGCAUUAGAACAAACAUCCUAUUUUUCAUAGCAAAAAACAUAGAUCAGUGAUGAAUACCACAAAUGCAAACUCAUCACGGAGCAUUAGAACAAACAUCCUAUUUUUCAUAGCAAAGAACGCAGAUCAAUAAUGAAUACCCCAAAUGCAAACCCAUCACGGGGUUUUCAAACCAAUAACCCAUAACCAUAAAACCAUCACAGGGUUUUCAAACCAAUAACCCAUAACUAUUCGUACCUCUGUGACUGCGAUUAAGAUAGGGCUUUCACUUCUGUUCUCGUAUGAGAAGCGCAGAGAGAGGGAGACGUCAGUUUGGUAGGGCUUCCCCUGUAUUUCUGGUUUAGAGAGAGAGAGUUUGCGAGGGUGUAUUAGGGCUCCUGUAGUUUGUGAAAGAUAGAGAGGAAACUGGGCGUGAGGGAGAGAUAGGGCUCCUCUGGUUUUAGAGAAAGAAAAGGAAUGGUUUUGAUUUCGUGUGGUUUAGAGAGAGAGUGAGAGAGGGAGUAGAUGCAUCGGUAGAGAGAGAAAGAUGGAGUAUGAGAAGGGGUUGAGGCACGUAGGCCUACCAUCUCUUCACAGUAGGUGGGAGUGUAGGCGGGAGUUUGCAGACCUAAGCUGUCUCCAUUUCAAAUGGAGUUCCCCUUGUG